UACAGAGGUCUCAAGCGUUGUUCGGAUUCAUUGGGCGGAAAGGGUGUGUAGGUGGCGCGCUAAGUCGGGUGUGAAAUUUCGGAGCUUAACUCCGAAACUGCAUUCGAUACUGGCGUGCUUGAGGACUGGAGAGGAGACUGGAAUUCAUGGUGUAGCAGUGAAAUGCGUAGAGAUCAUGAGGAAGACCAGUGGCGAAGGCGGGUCUCUGGACAGUUCCUGACACUGAGUCACGAAGGCCAGGGGAGCAAACGGG
rnacentral:rRNA from 1 species